rnacentral:rRNA from 1 species
AACGAACGCUGGCGGCGUGGAUUAGGCAUGCAAGUCGAACGAGAAAGGUUUCUUCGGAAACUGAGUACAGUGGCAAACGGGUGAGUAACGCGUGGGAAACCUGCCCUUUGGUUGGGGACAACACUCCUAACGGGGUGCUAAUACCGAAUAAGCUCUUAUUAUCGCAUGAUGAUUUGAGGAAAGGCGGCCUCUGCUUGCAAGCUGUCACCAAAGGAUGGUCCCGCGUCCCAUUAGCUAGUUGGUAAGGUAAUGGCCUACCAAGGCAUCGAUGGGUAGCCGGCCUUAGCGGGUGACCGGCCACACUGGGACUGAGAUACGGCCCAGACUCCUACGGGUGGCAG